GUCCCUGUAGCGCAAUAGAUAGCCCGUUGAACUUUUAAUCCAAGGGUCAUGUGGGUUCAAAUCCCACCUGGAAUG